rnacentral:rRNA from 1 species
AGCGAACGCUGGCGGCAGGCCUAACACAUGCAAGUCGAACGAACCUAUCGGGGUUAGUGGCGGACGGGUGAGUCACACGUGGGAACGUGCCUUUAGGUUCGGAAUAACUCAGGGAAACUUGUGCUAAUACCGAAUGUGCCCUUCGGGGGAAAGAUUUAUCGCCGUUAGAGGGGCACGCGUCGGAUUAGCUAGUUGGUUGAGGUAAUGGCGCAUCAGGGCGACGUUCAGUAGUUGGUAUGGGAGGAUGAUCAGCAACAUCGGGAGUGGGACGCAGCCCAAACUCCUACGCGAUGCGGCAGAGGGGAAUCUAGCGCAAUGGGGUAAAGCCUGACGCAGCCAGGCCGCGUGAAUGAUGAAGUUCUUAGGAUUGUAAAAUUCUUUCACCGGGGACGAUAAUGACGGUACCCGGAGAAGAAGCCCCGGCUAACUUCGUG